rnacentral:pre_miRNA from 1 species
CUCGCAGCCAUUAAGUGAUAAAGUGUAGACUAUACCAUAGGAAGCUCGAGUGUUUACCUCCGUUUCAUGUGAUAUAGGUUAAUAAAUGUCAGUUAAGCUUUCUG